rnacentral:rRNA from 1 species
GUCUACCGCCAUGCCACCCUGAACGUGCCCUAUCUCGUCUGAUCUCGGAAACUUAGCAGGGUCGGGCCUGGUUAGUACUUGGAUGGGAUUCCACCUAGGAAUCCCAGGUGCUGUAGGCA